rnacentral:lncRNA from 1 species
CCUAAGUCAGACUUUCUCCAAGAAAAAAAAAAAAAGAAACUCUAAGGAGACCCUAUUUUUAAUUCUUCUAAGUAGUUAAAAUUAGAAAUCACAGCAAGUCAACAGGAAGCUCUCCUCUGCCAGUCUCCUAAAUCACAAUAUGGCCUUGUCAUGGCUGGAGUAUUUCAAAGGCUCAGUCCCACUCCAGAAUCGGCCCUGUCGCCCCCGCCCGCACUCCAGAGCCGGCUGAGAACCGCAGCGGCGCGGGAUCCACGUGCAGCGUCUCUCCGGGAGAUCAAAGUACUCCAAAAAUGCAGCUGCUUCAGUGACAAGAGGGAAUUACCUCCUCCCAAGCCUCAGGAUCCCAGUACCCAACUUGCCUGCCCCAGGCUCACUCCCAUUCACACAGUCCUUCAUGGCAGUGUCCAGCUUCACCAGGUCAAAGCUACCUAGAUGUCAUCAUACAAAUUACGGGCUAUGAUGUCCACCUCAUUCUCUUUCUGGAAGGCUGACCUUAACUGUCCUGCACAUUCCUUACACAGCAUAUUUGCCCUUCUCCUAUACUAAUAAGCCCUAAAUCUUGGGGGUAACAGCCUGGGGAACUACCUGUCUUGCUACCACUCAAGACCAUACUUCUGUCCACAAAUUCCCCC